AGGCCAGGCUGGAUGGUGUCCUGGGCAGCCUGAUCCAGUGGGUGGCUACCCUGCCCCACCCCAGGGACAUGGAACUGCAUGAUUCUAUGACUGCAUGAUCUCACAGAAGUGAUGAGGGUGGUCUUCUACAUAUAGCAAAGGUGAGGCCGAGGUAUAACACUGAAGCUCUACUGCAAUCUGUUACUGCCUAAUCACAGUACUGCUCCUCUGCUGGUUGUGUUUGGAAAGCAGGAUGACAACUAAGAUGAAGAAAGAAGGCAGAAUACAGAAUGAUCCUGUUCUACAUUUCUCUGCAAACUCAUAUUCAGACCUGCAUAAAUUCUUAACAGAAUGUUUAACAAUUAUCAUUACAACAAAAAGAAAAGUAAUAGUAGCAACUUUCCCAUCAAGGGGAAAAACAUAAAAUAAUUUCCCUGUCA